GUCUCUGUGGCUCAGUUGGAAGAGCGUUGGUCUCAUAUCACCACCUAAUUGAUAUGACGAGGCUUGAAGCCUGGGACAUCCAAAGGUCGCAAGUUCGAGCCUUGCCAGGGACA